UACGAAGGGGGCUAGCGUUGCUCGGAAUCACUGGGCGUAUAGGGUGCGUAGGCGGGUCUUUAAGUCAGGGGUGAAAUCCUGGAGCUCAACUCCAGAACUGCCUUUGAUACUGAAGAUCUUGAGUUCGGGAGAGGUGAGUGGAACUGCGAGUGUAGAGGUGAAAUUCGUAGAUAUUCGCAAGAACACCAGUGGCGAAGGCGGCUCACUGGCCCGAUACUGACGCUGAGGCACGAAAGCGUGGGGAGCAAACAGG
rnacentral:rRNA from 1 species